UUUGUUGGCCAGAUAUGUAAAACCCACUGCUAGAAGUUGGAUAUUAGAUGAAAGGAUAAAAAUAGCAAUAAGGAUAAUUCGGGGAGACAUAGGCAUUCAGAGGGUAGAAAUUGAGUCCAUAAUUGAAUGAAGAAGAGAUAGAUCCAACAGUAUUAUAAUACAUAUAUUAUAAUGAUGGAGAUAGAAAAAGAUAAAAGUGAAGACAGAAGCCAUCAAGAAACAGACAAGAUUGGAAACCAGGAUACAGGAGAAAGGACAAAAUAUCUUUUACUUAUUACAAAAUAGUAUUUUACUUUUAUAAAAAAUAUUUAAAUGUUAAUAUGAGUCACAUUCACGCAUUAUUAUGCAUAGUUUUAGAUAUAACCUUCACCAGGUGACUUACUAUCUUUAUAAAGAAGACUUUUAAUAUUUUGAUUUGCUCUCACACUUAACAUAAUAGAUAUUGCCAGAUAAGUAAGUUAACUCAUGGUAUGUUGUUUAGUUCCGAGAAGUGGGCUUCAGUGCAGAAGAUAAAGACAUAACUCUUAUCCAUUGGGGAAGUUAUGACGUUCUAGAGAAAAAGAAUAGCAGAAAAAGAGAGAGGUACAGAAACCCUGAACAAUCAAAGAGGUGUGUGAAAGGGAUGCAACUGUAUUUUAAGGGAAUUGAAACUUAUUUGUCACUGGCAGAGAAAAUAAAUUGGCACCCUCAUUUUUUAAUAUAUCUCUUAAAAGUCAAUCAGCACCUAUUGACACCUGUCAACCCUUUUAAGUUUUCUUCUAUUAGGAGUUAGUUCAGUCACAAGCUCAGUGGGCAUCUAUUGAUUUAGUGUCUUUGAAAAUGAAAGUUUAAAUUGGCAUGUUGGGGAACCGGUGUUGAGAGGCGUGUGAGAUGGUUGGUUCUAUAUGUAAAAUAAAGCCCUGCACUUCGGAGAUUCAUGUUGGCCUCCUUCAGAGGAAAGAGCAUUCUCUGGCACAACUCCAUAUAAAGUUGGUUCAAUAUUCCAAUGACUUUACGUAUUUAUUUAUUUUAA
rnacentral:lncRNA from 1 species